UGAAAUCUCUCCCUUCAGUACGUUACAUAAGUUCCAUUUCCUUUGCACCAAUACUGUUUUGAAAUUUUAAGGUGCUAAAGUAUGCAGAUGCAGCAGUGUGAAAGAUGAACACCUUAAUCCUCUCCUAUUUGUCAUGGGAAGAAAAAACAAGAUUAUUCCUUAAUCAUGAGGCAUUAUGCAGCGACAGCCUCGAAACUACUUACAUGGUGUCAAUAGUUUCUUCAUGUUCACGCUUUUUAAUUAAUUUAAAACUAUUAUUAUAAUUAUCUUCUUGCAAGUAACACGUUUGAUUUGCUGACUUGCAAUCACUAAUUAGUAACAAUGAUAACUGGGUUUUUCAAUUCUAAAUUAUUUUAUUUUAUUUUUACAUACUUAGUGUCGUAAAAUUCGUCUAGGAUGAUGUCAUGAGUUGCUGCUCAAAUGUUGAUAUGAGUUAUUAAUUGUGUUUGCUGAGAUGUGUCAGUGCCACAAACAAGGGAUUGUGUGCUAGAUUAUAUUGAAUUUGAAUUUCUGAGUUUGCUGAAGGAUGCUUAAUUUACUUCAUGAACAUCCCUGUCAGUAUCAAGUAAGAAACGUCUAACCUUAUUAUAAUAUUACCUAUAAUUCUCUAGCAGAUGACAUAUCCUAACUUAUUCAAGGUUUCAUGUUUAGUAUCUAAGAAACUUUCAUUUUGUUAAUGCAGAAACAACUGAAAGAUUAGAAGCAACAGGUUCUGGCUCUUAUCAAGCUGUUCCUUUUUCUUAUGGAAACAAUGGCGGUUUAGCUGAUCCCAACAGCUAUGGACAAGAUCAUUCCUCUUAUGGAAACAAUGGCGGUUCACACAUAUGCUCCAUUGCAUUUCAUGUUUGUAAUGAGAGCAGUACACAUCAUUCCGACAAUGGCGCAUGCAUGUAUAUUUUCAAUACAUUAUUGGUUCAUUGCUUCCUUCGUAUUUCAAAUCAAUCUAUUUACUUUACUUCCUCAGAUUCUGAGAUCAGAGAGCAUUGAAAAUAUACAUGCUCCAUAUAAGGCUGAUGCACAGAUAGCAUAUUUAUCAUCUCUUAGUGCUGAUCAAGAAGGCAUUGAAGCUUUAAUAACAUAGGACAGCGACCUUAUUGCAUAUGGUUGUCAAAAUGAGAGAAAUUUGUUCUCAUUCUAACACAAUAGAUGAUAGAUCCAUUGCCAUUGUUGUACCUAUUGAAAUUUGAUUUGAUUUACGGCUGUUGCAGGUUAUAUUUAAGAUGGACAGAUAUGGAAAUACUGAAGAGUUUUUUAUGGAUAAGGUUUUAAACAAUGUUGGUGAUGGAUUAUCUUUCAAGCAUUUUGAUAAAGAAUUGUUCAAAGGUGAUGCUG